AAAAGAUUCGCCAGUAUUAAAGUAAAAAGUAAUUUGAAGUUUGUCUCAGUUAUUUCCGACGCUAUUUUAAUGUUACUUCAAGUUUGCUAGGUUGGGAGGCUAUUUUUAUCACUGUUAUAAAAACCCACCAGCACAGUUUUGACUGAGAAUUUAAUGUUUUCGUUAUCUUUGUUGUUGAGAGGAAGGUAUUGCACGUGUUUAAUUUUUAUUUUGAACAAGUGCUAAGUUAGCUAAGUAGCUGUUACAGAAGUAUAUGAAGACAUGUUGAGCUGUAAUUUCUGUGGCAAGGUAGUUCAAUCAUUAAGGGGCUAUGUGCUUCAUUGUAAACUUCAUCGGAAUGAGCCACGUUGUUUCUUUAAGUGUAUUGAAGCUGACUGCAAGCAGACAUUUACCAGGUAUGGAGCGUUUAAGGCUCAUUUUUACCGGAGACACACUGCCCCGACCAAUGUAGCUGUUGUGAAGGAGGUUGCCGCUUUUAAAUGCGCAAUGGCGAUGUGUGAACGCCAGUGUCAAGACUCUAAAGAGUUAAUAGCUCAUCUGAAGAGCCAUAUUGUGGAAGGACAUGUGGUGACUUGUCCAGUAAGAGGAUGCGCAAACACUUUUAAGGUCAAAUCAUCUUUUACUGCCCACAUGUCACGUAAACACAGAGAAUUUUCAGACAGCAGCAUUCGUGAUUUAUAUAGAGAUUCUGCAUGCCAAUCAUCAUCUGUUCCAACCACAUCAGAUGACUUUGUCCCCCUGGUUUCUGAGGCAGCUGCAGAAUCCAGUACAGAUGAAGGUAAUACAGAAAUGUCCCCAGAAUUCUGUGAUCUUUUUCUGAGAAACGUUUCACUAUUCUACUUAAAAUUGCAGGGUCAGUUUCUACUGCCUGCUUCGACCAUACAGAACAUUGUGGAGGAAAUGCAGAACAUACAUGAGUUGGGUCAGACAUACAGUUUGAGUAAACUUGCAUCACUGUUGAAAGAUGACACAUCAUUGUCAGAUGAGGACAUCAACAAAGUGUGUGAGUCUGUCAAAGGCUUUGAUCUGUUUUCUGCAUGUCAUACGGGGCCAAUGAGGACAGUGUACUCAAGAGCUCAGACUUUUAAAAAAGCCUUCAACUAUGUGGAACCAAAGAAAAUGUUUUUAGGGAGAGAUGAGAACAGGAUAGAUAGGUUUGCCUACUAUGUGCCUUUAAGAGAGACUUUAAAAUGUUUGUUAGAGUCUGAUCUGAUGCAGAAAUCAGAAGAGCCCUAUACUGAGUCUCCUGUUGAUGUUCUAUGUGACAUAAGUGAUAGUAAGUUAUUUAAAUCAAAUGAUUUUUUUGGUCAAAACCCAUCAUGCCUCAAGCUAGUACUUUACCAGGAUGCCUUUGAAGUUGUUAACCCUUUAGGCUCUGCAAGGACAAAACACAAGGUAUUAGCUGUAUAUGCAUCAGUGGCUAACUUGCCACUUCAUGUUCGUUCAGACACAGACCACAUGUCUCUUGUCUUACUGUGCAGGGAGAAGGAUUUCAAAGAGUUUGGUCAUGCUAAGGUGUUCUCAGAAUUACUAGCAGACUUGAAGGAAUUGGAGGACAAUGGAAUUGUUGCACCAGAUGAAACUAAAGUCAAAGGAACCUUGUUUUGCAUUGCUGGAGAUAAUUUGGGUUCUCACUGCAUUGGUGGCUUCUCUGAAAAUUUUAGUUCCUCAAAGUACUUCUGCAGGUACUGCCUAAUAACCAGAUCUGAAUUUCAGGAUGCUGACCCAAAUCUGUGUGGACCAGAGCGUACCCAAGAUAACUACAACUCUGCUGUUGAUCGCCUUCAGAUUGACAAUACACCAGAUGUCGAAGGAGUAAAGUUCCGACAUCUUGGAAAUGGGUGACAACAUAAGAAGUUCAAUCACUAAAGUACUGCCAGACCUGACUGCCUCAAUCCUUGAAAUCGUCCUGGAGGCACUACAAUCAUUAGGGGUGGAGACAUCUGAGGACUUACAGUUCAUCAAUGAGACUGAUCUGGACUGUGUCCUGAGACCAGUUCAGGCAAGAAAACUGCUGGCUGCAUGGAAGAAAACCACACCGAACAGUGAAAUUUCCAGCCAGGCCAGCAUAUCAUCUCCAUCUUCGUGCUCCACAUUUUCUGCCUCCCCUUUGCCCAGUUGUCCAAUGUCCUCUCUGAACUGGGUCGAUAACUUUAAAAUUCCAUGCGAAAAUUUCCCGGAAGACUUGAUGCAAUGUCUUCAGAGAGAAAAAAGGCCAAAGCCAAGAUUGCGGAGGGAGAUGAUCCGCAUCAUUGUAAAGGAGAUGAUGAAAGCCUGUGCCUCUCCAUCUAGAAGAGCCUCAACAGAAAUUGCCAAAAGACUGGUUGCAAUGUAUCCCAACUCACUGCAGGAUGUUAUAGAAGGGGAUGUGGUAGGACAAGGAUACCACUCAUUGGUGAAACAGAUGCAAGCACGAAUUGAGAAUAUGAAGAGGUCUUUUACACCAGUGAUACAGAAGCGCAAACGACGAGGAUCAGAUGACACAGAUGAAGUCCCACCUGAAAAGCGAGCUACUAUUCAAGACACAUAUGGCUGCAUAAAGUGGGACAUUAAGUUUUUGCCAGUCAGUGAGACACUGGAAAGCCAGCAGGAGAAGAAAGAAGAAAUGAAGCUUCUCAGUGAACAGACAAGCUUCAGUCCUGAAGAAGUAAAAACUCUAAUGAAAUGCACCUACUACUCUCAGCGUAAAGCAGUCAACAAGGGAGCAGACUUGCAAAUACUCAUAGAAGAGUGGCCUUUUUUGUUUCAGGAGGUUGGAAUGGCUGUCCAUUUUGAAGAGCUUACUGGGGUAUCGCUAAAAGAUACUUUCCUCACCAGUCUGGAAAAGAAAGCAAAACGGCUUCUGGACUUUCUGAAAACCACUUGCGCAGACAAGAGCAAGCGAGUCCUGGAGGCUGUCAUAAAGCUCCGGAUGCAGAGAGGACAGCUGAAGGGCUGCUCAGAAGAUGUCAAAGAUAUGUUGCUCCUUCUUCUGUCCUAUUUUGAUGAAAAAGAGGAGACCCUCUUCCACUAUGUUGAAGAAACAUGCCUGGCAAAAGAAGUCCAAAUGGAAAGCCUGCCUGUGACACCAUGUAUCAUUGUUUGUGGCUCCUCCUGCUAUGCAUCGAGGCUGUUCAUGCUGAGUAUUGACCACAAAGUUGUGAAUGACCAAAUCACUGACUUCAUCUCUGCAAUCUGUUUGAUGCUUGGAAGCUACUACUGCCUGAACAUCCACUAUCCAGUGAAACUUGGCUCCACACUUGAGUUCCUUCAGAGGCGCUGAAUUUGAACUGCAACCCGAGGGAAACAAUUCAAAGGCCCUGUGACUCUUAGGAAACGUGCCCUGUUUUUGUGAACAGCAUCAGAAGAGAGUGACAGGCAAACCAGUGUCAAGAAGAUGACUGACCAAAACGUGCUGAAGACAGAAUCAAACCUUGGUUGGAAAUUCUUGAUGGGAUCAAGUCAGUCUGCAGUGAAACCUCCUUUGUCAACAUGUGAGUCUUCAAGUAGAGAUGAUGGCAAUUUUCUGGAUUCCCUAAACAUCACACCAUGUCUGUAUAAGACUCACCUGUCUUCAGUCAAGUCUGCACCUAUAGAUUCACUCAGAGAGAGGAUCCUGCCAGUCCAAAGUGAACACCCGAUGGACAACAUAUGAGUACUCCAGCAGAGCUUGUAUCUUCGACACCAUGUGCAUUUGAAACUCCACUCCAUGUUUGAGUGUUUUCUUCAACCAAGGCCGGACUCACUGACUCAUUACUCUUAAUCAGUCGGGGGCAAGUGACUAUUUGUUUCAUGUUUAUUCAUUCCACCAUGGAUUACCAGUCAUACUAUAUAUGGACACAUGCUGUACUCUCAAGAUCUAUGCUGCUUUGUGAGUGUAUAGACAAUUAAUAUGAUCUGUUCAGUCUGUUUCACAGAUGGUAUGUAAAAUGUUCUUAAUAAUUAUUAUUGAUCACAGUACCUUGGUUAAUAUGGGCAUCUUUAAAAAAAAUUUAGAUUUAGUAGUUGCUAAAUGUAAAAGCUACGCCAAACCACUGAUGUUGCUCAUGUUUUGUACUGUAUUUUUUACGGUGAAAUACCGGCAGCUGUGGUUGCCAGGAUUUUACCGUGAAAUUAAACUGGUCAAAAUAAAAUAUUGUAAUUUGUUGUACAA